UAUUACAACAUUACACCUUGAAAAUAUCCAAUUUUGUUUGAUCUUGAGAAGCUGAGCAGGGUUGGCCCUGGUAAGUACUUGGAUGGAAGACCAAUGGAAAAAACAGCUGCCAGUGGGGUGGUAAUGG
rnacentral:rRNA from 1 species